CACGCAUGCCAGGCGAGCGCACUAGCGCUUGAGCCUCAUCCCCAGCCCUAAUUUUUCUAUUUAAUAUUUACAAUUGAUAGUGAAAAAUUCAUGAGGUAGUGUGAAGGUAGACACUGUUUGGCCAACUUGCCACCCAAUUUUCAUCAGCAGCCACUAGUUCUGAGGUGAAGAAAGGGUCUGACAGCAGAGUUAAACACUUUGCUCUGGACACCUCUAGUUGCCAUGGGCCCAAAUGUGGAUUAUCAAGAACUAGGCUGGGGAGGUUCUCUCUGCUUAAGUCCUUAGAGACCUGUCUGUCCUGCCCUCUACCACCUGGAGCUCUUGAGGCUAGGGAAAUGCCAAGAUUCCAUUUAUAAAUUAGAUUGGGGAUUCCUCAGUCUGGGAGGAGGUAGAGAAAGCUAUAUCUAAGCACAUAAAGCCAGUUGGAUAAGGCCUUCAGACUGUACCUAUAAACAAAAAGAAGAGCAAUAGUAUUGAAAUAAAAGAUUGGGGGAAAAAAAAACAGGUAAGCUAAAACGUCUUUAUUUAAUAGUUUUUCGUUUUAGAAACACCAAUAAAUACCCUAGAGCUGGCUGGGGUCAUUCAGAGCUCUUAUGAUAAGGCUCCACAAAGGUCUAGCCAAUCUCAGUCCUCUUUGAUCUUUUCUACUUUGCAGACUGGGCCUCUGCUGUGCCAAUCUUAUUGAGGACCUUGGAACGUAUGCAUUUGGCCCCAGUUGUAAAGGACUAAGGCUUGACCUUGAAAACAAAAGCAAGUUGUUACUGGGACUUAUAGAUGAGAUCAGUCUAACUGUGAUAGGAGAACAAUCAUCAGAGGCAAAUUCUGUUUACUGCAGGUGUUAUUUCACCUCCAUUCUUACUGGGAAAGGAUAGUGCUGACCCAAAUGAAGGGAACCAGGGUGCCAUACAAGCAGGGAGGGACAGGUCAGGAGGAAUAACUACUGAAAGGUACGAGUUAGGCUUAGAAGGUUAGAAGCAAGAGAGGUUGAUUUUAGAAGAUAAUCUAGUUACCUCAUUUUAUUAAUGAAGAAAUAGAAACUGAGUGAUGAUGUGAUUUACCCAAGGUCACAGCUGAAUGAAGACUAUAACUUUUAAAGACUAAUAAAGGACUGUUUCCCUCUCUUCCUAUGUUCCAUCACAGGGACUCCACAAGUGAGCAGAAAAGCUUUAUUUAUCAUUGUAAAUGAGAUUCACACUUCAUUAUGACAGAGAAUUCAGGAAAGAUAAGAAACAUGAGCAACAAUAUUGAAAACUUUGGGUUCUUACCAGUGCUUUUUCGUUAAUUAGGACUAACUAGCCAAAGUACCUUUAGUAGGACUUUAGGAAAAGCACGGGAAAUAUAUUGCAAGACAGUCCCUGCCCUUGAGGAGGUCACAGUCUAGCCAGGGAGACACACAUAAAAUGACUUGAGAAGAUUACAAGCAACAUGUCAACAAGUGCAAAGUAAUUGAUUGUUACAAAUAAAAGACCUAAUGCCGCAGGGUACAGAGCAUUGAUGAGUGAGACUUUGUCUGGCUUUGACUGUAGAUCAGAAGGUGACAGCAAUCAGGCUAAAUUCUGCCCUCAAAUGCAUUGAGUUUAGACCACUGGAAGAAUUGUUGCUGUUAUUCUUGGUGCUGGAUAUUGGACUCAGGGCCUUUGUGCAUGCUAACAACUCUGCCACUGAGCUUACACCCCCAGCCCUGUCUAUUUUCUUUUUUAAUAUUUUAUUAGUUGUUGGUGGACCUUUAUUUACUUUUAUGUGGUGCUGAGAAUCAAAC
rnacentral:lncRNA from 1 species